GAAUUUUGGACAAUGGGCGCAAGCCUGAUCCAGCCAUGCCGCGUGAGUGAAGAAGGCCUUCGGGUUGUAAAGCGCGUUCGUACGGUAAGAAAUCGCGCAGGCUAAUACCCUGCGCUGAUUACGGUAGCGUCAUAACAAGCACCGGCUAACUACGUGGCAGCAGCCGCGGUAAUACGUAGGGUGCGAGCGUUAACCGGAAUUACUUGGCGUAAAGCGUGCGCAGGCGGUUGAUUAAGACAGGCGUGAAAUCCCCGGGCUUAACCUGGGAACUGCGCUUGUGACUGGUCAGCUAGAGUACGGCAGAGGGGGGUGGAAUUCCACGUGUAGCAGUGAAAUGCGUAGAGAUGUGGAGGAAUACCGAUGGCGAAGGCAGCCCCCUGGGAUAAUACUGACGCUCAUGCACGAAAGCGUGGGUAGCAAACAGG
rnacentral:rRNA from 1 species